AUACUUACCUGGCAAGGGAGAUACCGUGAUCAAGAAGGCGGUUCACCCAGGGCGAGGCUCAGCCAUUGCACUCCGGCUGUGCUGACCCCUGCGAAUUUCCCAAAUGUGGAAAUCUCGAUUGCAUAAUUUAUGGUAGUGGGGGACUGCGUUCGCGCUCCGCCCCU
rnacentral:snRNA from 8 species